rnacentral:rRNA from 1 species
UGAGUAACCUGCCCUUAACUCUGGGAUAAGCCUGGGAAACCGGGUCUAAUACCGGAUAUGACUCCUCAUCACAUGGUGGGGGGUGGAAAGCUUUAUUGUGGUUUUGGAUGGACUCGCGGCCUAUCAGCUUGUUGGUGAGGUAAUGGCUUACCAAGGCGACGACGGGUAGCCGGCCUGAGAGGGUGACCGGCCACACUGGGACUGAGACACGGCCCAGACUCCUACGGGAGACAG